rnacentral:lncRNA from 1 species
UUCAGAGCCUGGCAGGUCCUAGUGACUGUUGCAGAUCCGUGCUGCCAACAACCAGCACAUCAAAUGGACAAGCCAGAGGCCAAGGGCACUUGUAAAUUGUUCCUGAUCAUCUCUAAACAUUUCUGGUCUUAGCAGGGAACAGCAGUGGGAGCUUUGCAAAGGGAACAUUACUGCUGUGAUGAAUAACAGUCUCUCCAGAGAAACUGGUGUGACGCAGGCAUUUCAUCCUACUGAGAGGAACACCACGCCUGCCACCAACUGAUGCCCCUAGUAUUGCCUCUGAGGAAGAUGGACCUAUUUUAAUUCCUGUUCUGCACACUGUGAACUUGAAAGACGUGGUCAUAUUGAGAAGAAUUAAAGUGUGCGAACCUCUCAGUGUGCGUACAGAACAUCUUCUGGUGGUUGAGAAGUUGAGAACACAGCCCUCAGUCAAGAAGCUUCUUGGUUUAUAAUAAAGUAAGAACACAGCUAGUUCUGAGAACCCAACAGAUCUGCUGUCCAAGCCUUGGACCUCGUGUCUCCUGGACCACCUUAAGAAAUGUAACGUAGAGAUGAGUGUGCUAUGUGAACUUUCUAAUGGGCUCCUUUCCUUCUUUGUUUUAACUACUGGACAAAAUCACACUGUUAAAAGCAUAAGGCUGCUCCAGAGUU